rnacentral:rRNA from 1 species
GUGAGCAACCUGCCCCUGACUCUGGGAUAACAGCCGGAAACGGUUGCUAAUACCGGAUAUGCAUCAUGGCCGCAUGGUCUGUGAUGGGAAAGAUUUUUCGGUUGGGGAUGGGCUCGCGGCCUAUCAGCUUGUUGGUGAGGUAGUGGCUCACCAAGGCGUCGACGGGUAGCCGGCCUGAGAGGGUGACCGGCCACACUGGGACUGAGACACGGCCCAGACUCCUACGGGAGGCAGCAGUGGGGAAUAUUGCACAAUGGGCGGAAGCCUGAUGCAGCAACGCCGCGUGAGGGACGACGGCCUUCGGGUUGUAAACCUCUUUUAGCAGGGAAGAAGCGAAAGUGACGGUACCUGCAGAAAAAGCGCCGGCUAACUACGUGCCAGCAGCCGCGGUAAUACGUAGGGCGCAAGCGUUAUCCGGAAUUAUUGGGCGUAAAGAGCUCGUAGGCGGUUUGUCGCGUCUGCUGUGAAAACCCGAGGCUCAACCUCGGGCCUGCAGUGGGUACGGGCAGACUAGAGUGCGGUAGGGGAGAUUGGAAUUCCUGGUGUAGCGGUGGAAUGCGCAGAUAUCAGGAGGAACACCGAUGGCGAAGGCAGAUCUCUGGGCCGUUACUGACGCUGAGGAGCGAAAGGGUGGGGAGCAAACAGGCUUAGAUACCCUGGUAGUCCACCCCGUAAACGUUGGGAACUAGUUGUGGGGGCCUUUCCACGGUCUCCGUGACGCAGCUAACGCAUUAAGUUCCCCGCCUGGGGAGUACGGCCGCAAGGCUAAAACUCAAAGGAAUUGACGGGGACCCGCACAAGCGGCGGAGCAUGCGGAUUAAUUCGAUGCAACGCGAAGAACCUUACCAAGGCUUGACAUA